rnacentral:rRNA from 1 species
AUUGAACGCUGGCGGCAUGCCUUACACAUGCAAGUCGAACGGUAACAGGUCUUCGGAUGCUGACGAGUGGCGAACGGGUGAGUAAUACAUCGGAACGUGCCCGAUCGUGGGGGAUAACGAGGCGAAAGCUUUGCUAAUACCGCAUACGAUCUACGGAUGAAAGCGGGGGAUCUUCGGACCUCGCGCGGACGGAGCGGCCGAUGGCAGAUUAGGUAGUUGGUGGGAUAAAAGCUUACCAAGCCGACGAUCUGUAGCUGGUCUGAGAGGAUGAUCAGCCACACUGGGACUGAGACACGGCCCAGACUCCUACGGGAGGCAGCAGUGGGGAAUUUUGGACAAUGGGCGAAAGCCUGAUCCAGCCAUGCCGCGUGCAGGAUGAAGGCCUUCGGGUUGUAAACUGCUUUUGUACGGAACGAAAAGCCUCUUUCUAAUAAAGAGGGGUCAUGACGGUACCGUAGGAAUAAGCACCGGCUAACUACGUG